CCUCAUCGUCAAACUCAUCGUCCCCUUCCUCGUCUUCCUCCAGGGGCUCGGCGGCCGCGCCGCUGCUGGGCUGCCCGAGCAACAGCCCGUGCUCCGCCUCCUCCUCCUCCGAGGCCAGCUGGCCCUCGUCCACCAUCGCCUCCGCCGACGCCGGGGCGCGAGACGCUCGCGGUCGGAGCUGCACCAUGGCCCACGCAGCGCUAGACCGUCUGACCUCUGACCCGGAAGCAGCUACAAGCGGAGCGCAAGCCUACUUUCAUCGCCCCCUGCAGGCGCAGGCCGCCUUGGAGCCGGAUGGACCCCACGGAAAAUGCUCUGCCGGCGAAAGCGGCUGGCAAUGGGGUUGAUUUCAAGGCAGGGAAGAGCCAUCGCGCUGCCCUCCUCGGCUGGGAUGGCGAGACAGGGCUGGCACGGCUCACGCUGUCCGGUGCUCAGAAAACCGGUAAUCGCGGGCCCGAGGCGCUGCUCGCCGCCGUUUUUUGGCCCUGGGUUCCGUCGAGUGGAUCCAGCUUGUCAGUCUUUGUGUAGAUUUGGCUGCGUUCGCUCCGCACUUCGGAGGAGGUGGCGUUUCAUGGGAAGAAAUGCGCUCUAGCAGAUGGCCGCCGUGGCCAGUCAGCCCUGCUGCCACCGACGAAGACGCGGGCGACAGACCUGGACUCUAAAGAAAUCUGCACAGACGUGCCCGGCGCCCUCGGCCUUCCCAGCUCCGCGGCCGCAGCGACGCCGGUUAGGAUGUCGGCCCUGUGGGAGGGGCGCCCUUCCUGGUGCCGGGCCCUAACCCACGACCUGGAACAGCAGCUGGCCCGUGGCAAAUGCUGAGCAUAUCUCCUGAAAGAAUGGCUUCGCCGGUCCCUAGAGAAUGCACCCGAGUUUUGUGGUAUAUACACAUACGUACUUUUUUUCCAAGUAUAUUUUAUUUCUUGGCAAACAUGGCCCUUUGUGAUCGCUGUGUUUCUCUCCUCCCAUCCAUUAUACAACACUAAGUGAUUCAUCAUUCUUUGAACAAAUCAAACUGUUUCACACCUGCCAUGCAUUUGUACCGACCGUGCUCUUCCCUCUACUGCCGCAGCCCCCCAGGUAGAAGUCCUUUUUAUACUUCAAAAAUUCCCACCCAGGCAAAUUUCAAGCACCUUACCCCUACCCCAUCCCACUCUGCCCAUCUCUAAUUGCGCUGGUCUGAACCCGCACAAAUGUCUGUGUAGUUUCUGCACUUCAUAACAGCUUAUAUGACAGUUGCUCCAGCCAUUCUGUGAACCCCUGAGGGGAAGGGCCAGGUCUUGCUAGUCAUUUUAUUUCUAAUGUCUAUCAUCUGGUAGAUGUUUAAUAAAUGCUAAGUUGAAUAAUUCUAUCUUACACAUAUAUUGUAUUUUUAAUUCUCUUUUCAUGUCUUCUGUUUUAGAAGCAAUUCUCAAUUUAAAAACGACAAAACCAAAUAGGAACAAAAAUGAUAAAACUUGAAAACAACAACAACAAAAAAAGCUGCUGAACCAGAGGUUCAGUAUGAGAGGAAUUGCAAAGAACAGUUUUGAAAUCUCUAGGCCUUAGUCAGAUAGAAAUUACAAAUCAAAAAUAUAAUCAGACUCCCUGAGACACUAACACUAGGAAAAUGAAUAAAGUUAACUUGGAGCAGCCCAAGAACAAACUUAUAAGUGCAUGAUGGUAUUUUAUGUGCAAAACUGCUUUAUAAGUACUAUAAGACUAUUACAGGUAUUACCAGUGCCCUCAGUGUAAACUCCUUGGCCCACCCAUGUAAAGUGUACAUCGAGCCCUCAGGGUCCCUGACUGGUUCUCCAGCCGCCCCAUAGGCUAUGAGCAUCCCCGUUCCCUACACAAAGGACCACUGGGAUUUAUUAAAGGUUAUGCCUUGCAAUGCAGUACAAAGUUUUAUAUGAUAGUGUCUUGUUGCCUGUUUCUACAAAAGCCAAGGGUGUAACAUUAAAUGCAAUUUUGCAAGGGGCUGAGGUGAUGUGGUCCAAGUAUGUAAUCACUUCAGGGAGCCAUAUGUGACCUUCAUACACUGUUGAUAAUGGCCAUGCCUCCCAGUCAGGCCUGUGACACCUGCUGGACAGCAGGCAUUCCAAGGCCCCUAAGCACUGAGUUAGCUGGUAAAGGUUAAGGAAAAAGCUGUAUUCUUACUACUUUACUCCAAGGUAGUAAAGUGUAUGGAAGAUGUACCUGACAGAAAUAACUUAAGCAUCCCCUGAGAAUGACCCUGUAUGGCAGAUGCAUCUGACAGCAAUAACUUAAGAAGUGAGGGUUGCCACGUGGAGGCUGCUGAGGGGAGGGUGCUGAGUGAAAGUGCUAUGUAAACUGCAUGCUUUUUAUAAGUGGUUGCAGUUCUGUCCAGCCCGCGGCCACUGGACCACCCUGUAAGGUUCCCCAAAUAAACCCUAUGUUUCCUUCACUAGCUCCAGGUCUCUUCUUUGGCCUCUUGAACCUGGUGCCAUCCCUACUGAAGUUAACAGAGGUCUGGCCCAACCUAAGGGCAUCAUUUUUUAAAGUCCCAUGGAAAAAACUCCCAGCAGAGUUCAGCAUCUGGGAACGGUUGGCAGGCCCCACAGGAACCACAGCUUCUGCCUUUAUGAUGCUGAGAAACACUUCACUGUUGACUUCCCCCAUCUAAGGGGGCCAGAGCUAAAUUUUGGGCAGCUGUGUUUAUCCUGGGGGUCCACAUAUUUGCAUCAUUCUUUCUUCUCAUCGUGAUGUUCUACCUUGUUGGUACUGUUCUCUUCCUUCUUUGUGUGAGUUCCUGUUGUGAGCUUCCCCUUGUUCACUGAGGUAAUGUAGCCAAACAAGGUUAAAAAGCCCCCAGUAAGCCGGGUGCGGUGGCUCAUGCCCGUAAUCUCAGCACUUUGGGAGGCCGAGGCGGGCAGAUCACCUGAGGUCGAGAGUUUAAGACCAGCCUGACCAACAUGGAGAAACCCCGUCUCUACUAAAAAUACAAAAUUAGCUGGGUGUGGUGGUACAUACCUGUAAUCCCAGCUACUCAUGAGGCUGAGGCAGGAGAAUCUCUUGAACCCGGGAGGCGGAGGUUGCUGUGAGCUGAGAUCGCACCACUGCACUCCAGCCUGGGCAACAAGAGUGAAACUCUGUCUCAAAAAAA
rnacentral:lncRNA from 1 species